rnacentral:rRNA from 1 species
AGUGAACGCUGGCGGUAGGCCUAACACAUGCAAGUCGAACGGCAGCACAGUAAGAGCUUGCUCUUACGGGUGGCGAGUGGCGGACGGGUGAGGAAUACAUCGGAAUCUACUUUUUCGUGGGGGAUAACGUAGGGAAACUUACACUAAUACCGCAUACGACCUACGGGUGAAAGCAGGGGAUCUUCGGACCUUGCGCGAUUCAAUGAGCCGAUGUCGGAUUAGCUAGUUGGCGGGGUAAAGGCCCACCAAGGCGACGAUCCGUAGCUGGUCUGAGAGGAUGAUCGGCCACACUGGAACUGAGACACGGUCCAGACUCCUACGGGAGGCAGCAGUGGGGAAUAUUGGACAAUGGGCGCAAGCCUGAUCCAGCCAGACCGCGUGGGUGAAGAAGGCCUUCGGGUUGUAAAGCCCUUUUGUUGGGAAAGAAAAGCAGCAGGUUAAUACCCCGCUGUUCUGACGGUACCCAAAGAAUAAGCACCGGCUAACUUCGUG